rnacentral:miRNA from 2 species
AGGCAGUGUAAUGUUAGCUGGU